rnacentral:lncRNA from 1 species
UUUAAACGUGGAGACAUAUUCACAUGGUAUUAGCAGAAGCCUAAAAAAAUCAAGCUAAACUUAUGAAGCAAAAGCAACACAGUAAAGAAGCAAACAAAGUAGUUUCAAUGGAUGACCAAAUGACGUGAAUAGUUAUUGGAAAGAUCCGUCUAAGCAAACAAAUACUUAUGUAUAAAAAUGCAAACGUUCAUAACAAAUCUGGUAAUCAACAACAAUAAUAAUAAUCAUGACCCAAUAAUAAUGAAUAAAAAUAACGAGAAAAAAUAGUACUCAUCUCCGAAAAUCAUGAGAUUUGCCAAAAAUUCACCUUCGGUCAGAUUUAAAAAUCAGCAACCAUAUUUAAUGUAUACAAUAAGACAAAACAAUGAUCGGAAUGAACUUAUUUUCGAACAGAUCUGUACAAUAACGCAACAUCAUAAAAAUAAGAAACUUCAUUCAGUGGGGAAAACACAAUAAAUCAGUGGAGAAAAUAGCGUUGCUUCCAUGGUCUCUGCCGGAGCCAAAAGAAUCUAGCCAGAUCUGAACAUAUUCAAAGAGAAUAUUAGAGAAAAGUGGAAGAGAAAAAGAGAUGAGAGAAAGAGAAAGAGAAAGAAUCUUUGUGUUUUGUGUGUGGAUGUACGUGUAUGAUACAAGCAUGAGGAUCACAAGGAUUAUAAGGUUUUGUUGAAGGUUCAAGUUUCGAAUUUGCAAAGUGAAUUGAAGACCUUUUGAAGCCUUUUUUAAAGCCUUGUCAAAGCUUGGGAACUACAAAGACUACAAGGCGCAUUUAUGAAAAUGGACGCGUUUGAGCUUGCUGUGAACUCGCCCAGGGAAGUGUACGCCUUGACAUGUGAAGUCUAGUCUUAGGUGCUAAAAAAUAUCCCCAAGGCUGCCCCAAAUACACUCCACACCCGCCACCCUCAUUAAGGACAAAAGAGUCCUUUUGCAACACCUUGUAAUAGAUUAUUUAAACAUUUUUCUUAGUCUUGUUCCUUAGUUAGCUUAUUUUGAAAAUCAAUAUUGUAACAUUGAAACACCAUCCUCUCAAGAGAGAGUAUACCACCACUUUGACAUCAUAAGAAAUGGUUUCUUCUUGUGUUGUGUGUAUCG